AUGCCGCUUUACUAGCGGAAGCCGGAAGUUGAGGAGGCAGAGCGGAAAGCGAUAGGGGUGCAUCCGGGAGAGCUUGGACGCCACCUCGAAACGCAAGUCUUCCUUCCAGAAACCGGAAACACCUGUCUAAUCAUGGGAAAAACAUCAGACAAAUUCCAGUUAAGGGACAUCUUACAAAAUACUAGACCAGUACUCCUCAAUACUUCCAAUGUCAUCAAAAACAAGAAAACUUUGAGAAAAUGUUGCAGCUAGGAUACAUGCUGACUAAAUGUGAUGUGGUACCUUGAAUAGAAUCCUGGAACAGAAGAAGGACCUUAGGUGAAAGCUCUGAAUGAAGUGUGGACUUAAUGAUGCAUUGACUCUGGUUUAUGAAUUGUGAGAAAUGUCUCAUGGAUGUGCAGCCUCUGGGACCAUCUGUACUGUCUUUGUAAUUUUUCUAUAAAUCUAAAAUACUCUAAAAUAAAAGGGUGUAAUGAAAAAUA